UAAAAACCUCCGCACUUCCUCGCGAAUCAAGUACUGAAAGCAAGCCCGAGGGGAUUUAGCGCUGCUCUCUCUCGCUCUCGCUCUCGCUCUCGCUCGCACGCAUCGAUCGCUCGCUACCUCCCCAUGGCUUCGGUAGUUUCUGCUGCGAUGCCACGAAGCCAGGUGGAUCUAGUCGAUUUCGUGGACUGGAGCGGAGUCGAAUGCCUCAAUCAGAGCACGAGUCACUCGCUCGACAAUGCCUUGAAACAGGGUUAUAGGGAUGAUGAUGGUUUGCAUCUUGAGAGCGAUGCAGAUGAGCAGCUUUUAAUUUAUAUUCCCUUCACUCAAGUGAUCAAGCUGCAUUCAGUAAUUAUCAAAGGGCCAGAAGAGGAAGGCCCAAAGACGGUUAAGCUUUUUGCAAACAAAGAGCACAUGGGCUUUAGUAAUGCUAAUGACUACGUACCAAGUGACUCAAUUGCUUUAUCCCCAGAAAAUCUGAAGGGAACGCCUGUUAACUUAAAGUACGUCAAGUUUCAGAGUGUUCGCAGCUUGACAAUUUUUAUUGAGGACAACCAAGGUGGUAAUGAUAUCUCUAAGAUUCAGAAGAUUGUCCUCUGUGGAACUACGGUGGACACGACAAACAUGAAGGAUUUGAAGAAGAUUGAAGAGCACUGAGUGUGUGAUAUCUGAUGAGAUAUGCAGUUAUAUCACGGUACGCUAAGUCGACACCUCCUUCCAUCUGCCUGGUCGCCAGUGAUGGAUAUUCCAAGACUCACUGUAAGCGAAUAUGAGCAGGGCAUGGCUUUUUGUUCAACCUAGGUCCAAAAUUUCAAACUCUAGGCUGGUUUGAAGGCUAGUGGGGGUAAGGAUGGAGUGGGGAGACAACUGCUUUCUUUGGUCCCUUUCCUUUCCGUGCGUCCAUCAGAUUUGGAGCAGUCGGAGGCUUACUCCAAGUUCUCUGCUUUCCACGGGAGGACUGUGUGAGAAAUUAACUUCCUCACUGGAGACACUGAACACCAAUACACUUGUUUGUGCAUGAGACAAUAAAUUAAAUGAGAUUCUCCAAAAUUUUAUGCUGUGGGGGGCAUCAACAGGGGUACAACAUAAGGAGGCUUUGUUGGGUCAAGUCCAGCUUGAGAUUUAAACCUGAACAGACCCACUGAUGAUUCAAGCCGGGUCGGGUUUGUUUUCGAAGUUUUCUGACAUGAAGUGAAUCAGCAUUUUCUUUCAA